GAGAGAGAGAGAGAGUGAGUGAAAUCGGGAGAACCCGACUCCAGCCCCCUCCCCCUUUUCUUUUUCUUUCUUUCGGACCCGGAACCCUUUUUCCGGUGAAAUCACUGCCGCCGGACCACUGCCGGGCUCGACACCAACCAUCACAGGAUCCUCUCUUCCUCCUCUUGUAUCUAAGCUUCUCACGAUCGGUGGAGGAAGAAUUGAAGGUGUUUAAGUGCUUGAACAAUAGCGUGAACAGUAACUGACGAAGUCUUGUUUUUGGGAUUGAAUUUCCGGCUAUUUCUGCUUGUUUUUGGUUGUUGUUGCAGGUAUAGAAAUCGUUGGGAUUGUUGUGGAGUUUGUGUGGGUGUAAUUUUCUUGGCCGGUUUGUUGGUGGCGUGUAGAGGCUCCAGCAGUUCAUUAGGAAUGCUUUACUUCAGUUGUUAAAUUAUACUUAAAUGUUUGGGAUCCUUGAUUGUCACUGUUUUUGCAUAAUUUGGUGUUGGUUUUGGUUUCUGAA